AUUCAGACUGUGGUGAAAAUACACAUGUUCUCAAUUACUUUUGCCCGGUGUUGACACGCAUCAAUUUCAUUUUCAUUCCCUCGUUGAGAACAAUCACGUCUGAUGGAAGAAGUCAGAAAGGAUUACGUAUGAAAUUGAAUGGGAGAAAAUUGUGAUGUGUCAAGUAGAACAGAUUAGACCCUGAAAUCCUCGCCUCUUCUCCAAGCUUGAAACUUGCACCAGCAGUGUAGUGAGACUGUUGUCUCUUUUGGAUUCAUUCUCUCUCCACUGUGCAGUGAAAAGUGCCCCCAGGCUGGAAUCCAGUCCAGAAACAGACAAUGUGAAAAUACUUUCACUUCAACCCCAUGAAGAUUACAUAGAAGAAAAUGCCAGAUGAAGUUCCUUAUUGUUUCUCAUUCACAGAAUUUAUUUCCACUAAGUUAUUAAAAAAAUGGGCAAAAGAAAGUGGAACUUCAACUGUUCCUUAGGACAAUACGGACUUGUGUUUUUGAAGAAGCAAAGUGGAAAUGAUUAGGCAGCAGGGACUCUUUGCAGAAAAACGUAAGGAGCAAAGAAAAAUUUCUCAGAAAAGGAGAUUUGAAGCACAAUUGUCAUCAGUUCACAGAAGAAUUUUGAAGUUCUGUUUCCAGAGGCCUCUCUCUGCCUGCCCAGAGACUGUACAUCUUCAGAGAUGAGCAAAACUCUGCACUCUGCAAAAUCAGCACCCUCUGUCUAAUCAAAAGUUAACUUGGCCCAGGUUUUAGUUUCUCUGUAAGUUUUGUUGGAAAGUAAUAUAAUAAAUCUUAUUACAAGAUACAGCUGAUUAUGUAUACAUUAUGUCUUUGGAGAAAUUUGCAUUUUAAGAGGAAGGUCAAGGAUGCCUUAAUUACAAACAUUGCAUUUUUGGUUAUUUAAAUAGUAUCUGGGAAAACGGUGAAGAUAUAUAGGAAGUUAAGAAAGAUACCUGUAUCUACCACGUGUGAAAGAUUAUCUCAGUAAAUAGAAUUGGCUACAUAUUCAUCUAUUAUAAUAAUACCAAAAAAGAAGAUAUAUAUCUUCAAAGCGUCACAAUUUUUGUAGUCAGCAAAAUGAAUGGCAAAGAUAAUGAGAGAAUAAAGAUACAAAAAUGAGUAUUUAAAAAUAGAAUUCCAAUGGGAAAACUGUUAAUUUUAAAAAUUAUAUGUAAAGAUGAGGUUGCUGUUAAGCAUUUUACACCAAUAGAGAUAUCAAUUGGAAUAUUUUAUGUGAAGAAAAGAAAUAAUGACUUAACUUUGUCAAUAAAGAAAGCA
rnacentral:lncRNA from 1 species